AACGAACGCUGGCGGCAGGCUUAACACAUGCAAGUCGAACGCCCCGCAAGGGGAGUGGCAGACGGGUGAGUAACACGUGGGAACAUGCCCAAAGGUACGGAAUAUCCUCGGGAAACUGAGAGCAAUACCGUAUGUGCCCGAAAGGGGAAAGAUUUAUAGCCUUUGGAUUGGCCCGCGUCGGAUUAGCUAGUUGGUGGGGUAAAGGCCUACCAAGGCGACGAUCCAUAGCUGGUCUGAGAGGAUGAUCAGCCACAUUGGGACUGAGACACGGCCCAAACUCCUACGGGAGGCAGCAGUGGGGAAUAUUGGGCAAUGGGCGCAAGCCUGAUCCAGCCAUGCCGCGUGAGUGAUGAAGGCCUUAGGGUUGUAAAGCUCUUUCACCGGUGAAGAUAAUGACGGUAACCGGAGAAGAAGCCCCGGCUAACUUCGUGCCAGCAGCCGCCGUAAUAC
rnacentral:rRNA from 1 species